rnacentral:rRNA from 1 species
UACAGGGGGUGCAAACGUUGCUCGGAAUCAUUGGGCGUAAAGCGCACGUAGGCGGUCUGUUAUGUCGGAUGUGAAAGCCCUUGGCUCAACUGAGGAAGUGCAUCCGAAACUGGCAGGCUAGAGUACUAAAGAGGAUCGCGGAAUUCCCGGUGUAGAGGUGAAAUUCGUAGAUAUUCGGAAGAACACCAGUGGCGAAGGCGACUCGCUGGACAAGUAUUGACGCUGAGGUGCGAAAGCGUGGGGAGCAAACAGG